rnacentral:rRNA from 1 species
AAACUAGGAUUAGAUACCCUAUUAUUAAGAAAAAUUAUAUUGUUAGUAUAUAAAUUGUAUGAAAACAAAAAAUUAUGGCGGUAUUUUAAGCUUUUCAGAGGAAUUUGCUCUUUAAUGGAUAAAACACCUAAAUCUUACUAAAUUUAGUUAAACAGUUUGUAUACCACUAUUUAAGUAAUAAUUUGCUAUUAUUACUAAAAUUUAUAUUAAUUAAAAAAAGUUAAGUCAAGGUGCAGCAUAAAUUUUAGUAUGAAGUGAAUUACAUUUCUUUUAAGAAAAAUUUGUUGAAAAUAAAAUUUAGGAUUUGAAAGUAAAAUUUUAAUAGAAGGAAAAUUUGAAUUAAGCUCUAAAAUAUGUACACAUCGCCCGUCGCUCUCAUU